rnacentral:misc_RNA from 1 species
AUAUGGAUCUCAAAAAGCAUUUUAAGCAACUUAAUGAGAAAUGAAAAUUUUGAAAAUGCAACCAUUUGAUGGCUUUGAGGCCUCGAGAGGAGCCUACUUCCAAAUAAAUAGGUUAUGUCCAUGUUUACCUUCCAUCUCAAAAAAACAUUAACAUGUGCAUAUGCCCCAACCCAAUGGAUACAAUUGAAACAAAAUAAGCGACUUAUGAACCAAAUUGAUAAAAU